rnacentral:rRNA from 1 species
UUAAGUCAGGCAACGAGCGAGACCCAUAUCCACUGUUGCUAACACGACCCGUGAGGGUUGGUGAGUACACGGUGGAGACCGCUGGCGCUAAGUCAGAGGAAGGGGUGGUCGACGGUAGGUCAGUAUGCCCCGAAUAUCCCGGGCUACACGCGGGCUACAAUGGACAGGACAAUGGGUAACUACACCGAAAGGUGGCGUCAAUCUCUUAAACCUAUCCUUAGUUCGGAUUGGGGGCUGGAACUCGCCCUCAUGAAGAUGGAAUCCGUAGUAAUCGCAUUUCAAAACAGUGCGGUGAAUACGUCCCUGCUCCUUGCACA